GCUGGGAGGAGACCUGGGAGGGCGGAGGCCGCCGCCCCGGCCGGGCCACGCUGGGGGCACGAUGAUGUCAGCGGAGGAAAGGAAAUGAGUCAUCACUCCCUGGGACCGUGGGGCGGCCGGGAGCGAGUGUGGAGACGCGGCCACAGGAACCCAGGACAAUGGCGGGAAAUAUUUUUUGCAUGUCUGACACCCAUGACUCCACCUGGACCUGAUGACUCCUGUGGCCCCACCCAGGAGUGACUCAGCUCAACACAACAGCUUUGACCCCCUCUGAGUUCAUCUCCACUCCAACCAAUCAGCAGCAAGCACCCAUUGGCUGGCCACCCCCACCCCUUACCCAAACUGCCUUUGAGCCUUGGAGAUUGAUAUGAGUGAUAACUCCAUCUCCUGUGUGGUGUGGCUGGCUACAAGUCAAUUAAAUUCUUUCCCUACUGCUAUGGUGUGUUCUUUAUUUGUGCAGCAGGAAGGAAAAACCCAUCAGUUACAUGAGCAUGUGUGUAUAUGUGUGAGUAUAUGUAUGUAUUGUGUAUGUGUGAAUGUAUGUGUGUAUAUAGUGUGUAUGUGUGUGUCUAUGUGUGUAUAGGAAUGUGUGUGUGUGUGUGUGUGU
rnacentral:lncRNA from 10 species